rnacentral:rRNA from 1 species
UACGGAGGGUGCAAGCGUUAUCCGGAUUCACUGGGUUUAAAGGGUGCGUAGGCGGGUUGGUAAGUCAGCGGUGAAAUCUUCAAGCUUAACUUGGAAACUGCCGUUGAUACUAUCAAUCUUGAAUAUUGUGGAGGUAAGCGGAAUAUGUCAUGUAGCGGUGAAAUGCUUAGAUAUGACAUAGAACACCGAUAGCGAAGGCGGCUUGCUACACAAUAAUUGACGCUGAGGCACGAAAGCGUGGGGAUCAAACAGG